UACGUAGGGUGCGAGCGUUGUCCGGAAUCACUGGGCGUAAAGAGCUCGUAGGCGGUGUGUCGCGUCGGCCGUGAAAACCUGCAGCUUAACUGUGGGCGUGCGGUCGAUACGGGCAUCACUGGAGUUCGGCAGGGGAGACUGGAAUUCCUGGUGUAGCGGUGAAAUGCGCAGAUAUCAGGAGGAACACCGGUGGCGAAGGCGGGUCUCUGGGCCGAUACUGACGCUGAGGAGCGAAAGCGUGGGGAGCAAACAGG
rnacentral:rRNA from 1 species